rnacentral:rRNA from 1 species
UACAGAGGUCCCGAGCGUUGUUCGGAUUCACUGGGCGUAAAGGGUGCGUAGGCGGUUCUGAAAGUCUGAUGUGAAAUCUCCAGGCCCAACCUGGAAACGGCAUUAGAAACUACAGGGCUAGAGACUUGGAGAGGGAACUGGAAUGCUCGGUGUAGCAGUGAAAUGCGUAGAGAUCGAGCGGAACACCAGUGGCGAAGGCGAGUUCCUGGACAAGUCCUGACGCUGAGGCACGAAAGCCAGGGGAGCAAACAGG